rnacentral:rRNA from 1 species
CCUACGGGAGGCAGCAGUAGGGAAUUUUCGGCAAUGGGCGGAACCCUGACCGAGCAACGCCGCGUGAACGAAGAUGUUAUUCGUAAUGUAAAGUUCUUUUAACAGGGAAGAAAGAGAAAUUUGACGGUACCUGAAAAAUAAGCUCCGGAUUACUACGUGCCAGCAGCCGCGGUAAUACGUAGGGAGCGAGUGUUAACGGGAAUUAUUGGGCGUAAAGGGUGCGUAGAUGGCAUAGUAAGUCUUUUGUAAAAAUGCUGGGCUCAAGCCAGUAGGGCAAAAGAUACUGCAAAGCUAGAGUGUGACAGAGGCAGGUGGAACUAGAUGUGUAGCGGUAAAAUGCAUAAAUAUAUGUAAGAACACCAGUGGCGAAGGCGGCUUGCGGGGUCGAUACUGACGUUGAGGCACGAAAGCGUGGGGAGCAAACAGGAUUAGAUACCCCUGUAGUC